UACGUAGGGGGCAAGCGUGGUCCGGAUUUACUGGGCGUAAAGAGCGUGUAGGCGGCCACGCAGGUCCGUUGUGAAAACUGGAGGCUCAACCUUCAGACGUCGACGGAAACCGUGUGGCUAGAGUCCGGAAGAGGAGAGUGGAAUUCCUGGUGUAGCGGUGGAAUGCGCAGAUAUCAGGAGGAACACCUAAGGCGAAGGCAGCUCGCUGGAACGGUACUGACGCUGAGGCGCGAAAGCGUGGGGAGCAAACAGG
rnacentral:rRNA from 1 species